rnacentral:misc_RNA from 1 species
GAAAUGCGAUAAGUAAUGUGAAUUGCAGAAUUCAGUGAAUCAUCGAAUCGUUGAACGCACCUUGCGCUCCUUGGUAUUCCUUGGAGCAUGCCUGUUUGGAUAUCAUGAAUUCUUCAAAAUCAAAUCUUUUGUUAAUUCAAUUGGUUCUGCUUUGGUAUUGGAGGUUAUUGCAGCUUCACACCUGCUCCUCUUUGUGCAUUAGCUGGAUCUCAGUGUUAUGCUUGGUUCCACUCAGCGUGAUAAGUAUCUAUCGAUGCGGACACUGUAACAGGUCGCCAAGGUAAAUGCACAUGAACCGCUUCUAAUAGUCCAUCAAUUUGGACAAUAUUUUUAUUAUCUGAUCUCACAUCAGGUAGGACUACCCGCUGAACUUAA